rnacentral:rRNA from 1 species
CUCGUAGUUGGAAUCUGUGAGUGGGUUUCGGUACUUCCCAGUGAAGAUUACACGGAGCUCUGCUCACAUUUGUUCAGGGAGGGUGGAUGCACUUCACUGUGUGACCACAUGAUCUGAAUUUUUACUUUGAGGAAAUGAGAGUGUUCCAAGCAGGCAAUCGCCGUGAAUAUGAUAGCAUGGAAUAAUAGCACAGGACUCUUGGUUCAAUGCUGUUGGUUUGUUGAGCUUGAGUAAUCACAAUAAGGAUAGUUGGGGGUAUUCGUAUUUAACUGUCAGAGGUGAAAUUCUUGGAUUUUUUAAAGACGAACAAUUGCGAAGGCAUCUACCCAGGAUGUUUUUGUUGAUCAAGAACGAAAGUUAGGGGAUCGAAGACGAUCAGAUACCGUCCUAGUCUUAACCUUAAACUAUGCCGGCUGGAGAUUGGGGUCGUCAGAUGUGUGACGUCUUCAGCAUCCUAUGAGAAAUCUAACUCUUUGGGUUCCGGGGGGAGUAUGGUCGCAA